rnacentral:tRNA from 1 species
GGGCGAGUGACGGAAUGGCAGACGUGACAGCCUUAGGAGCUGUUGGGGAAACCCGUAGAGGUUCAAAUCCUCUCUCGCCCA